CAGUCGCCACGGUAAUACAGAGGGUGCGAGCGUUAAUCGGAUUUACUGGGCGUAAAGCGUGCGUAGGCGGCUUCUUAAGUCGGAUGUGAAAUCCCUGAGCUUAACUUAGGAAUUGCAUUCGAUACUGGGAAGCUAGAGUAUGGGAGAGGAUGGUAGAAUUCAAGGUGUAGCGGUGAAAUGCGUAGAGAUCUGGAGGAAUACCAAUGGCGAAGGCAGCCAUCUGGCCUAAUACUGACGCUGAGGUACGAAAGCAUGGGGAGCAAACAGGAUUAGAUACCCCAGUAGUCCCUGUCUCUUAUAC
rnacentral:rRNA from 1 species